UACGAAGGGGGCUAGCGUUGUUCGGAAUUACUGGGCGUAAAGCGUGCGUAGGCGGUUUGUUAAGUCUGUCGUGAAAGCCCCGGGCUCAACCUGGGAAUGGCGAUGGAAACUGGCGAGCUAGAGUACGGUAGAGGAGAGUGGAAUUCCUGGUGUAGCGGUGAAAUGCGCAGAUAUCAGGAGGAACACCGGUGGCGAAGGCGGGUCUCUGGGCAACAACUGACGCUGAGGAGCGAAAGCGUGGGGAGCGAACAGG
rnacentral:rRNA from 1 species